rnacentral:lncRNA from 1 species
UUUGAUCUGAGCUCAUUAAUUGAGCUGGCAGAUCAUGACGUCAUGAAGCGCGCGCCUACCAUGCUCCCUAGUCAACUGAAGCGCACAUUGCCAAAUAAAAAGUCAUAACGUGUGAUGCAUGUGAUUGAAUCUAGAAAAAGGAAUGGACGUUCCAGAUCAAAUCUGGGAACCAGACGGUGGCCAACGGCACCGUCUUCUCCGGCCAAGCUUCGGCCAAGUCAAAAAUUG